rnacentral:rRNA from 1 species
AUUGAACGCUGGCGGCAUGCUUUACACAUGCAAGUCGAACGGGGUGAGGGGGCAACUCCUCAUUCAGUGGCGAACGGGUGAGUAAUGCAUCGGAACGUGUCCCGUAGUGGGGGAUAACUCGGCGAAAGCCGUGCUAAUACCGCAUAUGCUCUACGGAGGAAAGUGGGGGACCUGAAAGGGCCUCACGCUAUGGGAGCGGCCGAUGUCCGAUUAGCUUGUUGGCGGGGUAAUGGCCCACCAAGGCGACGAUCGGUAGCUGGUCUGAGAGGAUGAUCAGCCACACUGGGACUGAGACACGGCCCAGACUCCUACGGGAGGCAGCAGUGGGAAUUUUGGACAAUGGGGCAACCCUGAUCCAGCCAUGCCGCGUGCGGGAAGAAGGCC